GACGAACCGUGCAAACGUUAUUCGGAAUCACUGGGCUUAAAGCGUGCGUAGGCGGCUGAGAAAGUUGGGUGUGAAAUCCCUCGGCUCAACCGAGGAAUUGCGCUCAAAACUACUUGGCUUGAGGGAGUUAGAGGUGAGCGGAACUAAUGGUGGAGCGGUGAAAUGCGUUGAUAUCAUUAGGAACACCGGUGGCGAAAGCGGCUCACUGGGACUCUUCUGACGCUGAGGCACGAAAGCUAGGGAGCGAACGG
rnacentral:rRNA from 1 species